rnacentral:rRNA from 1 species
GGAAUAUUGGACAAUGGGCGCAAGCCUGAUCCAGCCAUGCCGCGUGCAGGAUGACGGUCCUAUGGAUUGUAAACUGCUUUUAUACAGGAAGAAACAGUUCUACGUGUAGAACCUUGACGGUACUGUAAGAAUAAGGAUCGGCUAACUCCGUGCCAGCAGCCGCGGUAAUACGGAGGAUCCAAGCGUUAUCCGGAAUCAUUGGGUUUAAAGGGUCCGUAGGCGGUUUAAUAAGUCAGUGGUGAAAGCCCAUCGCUCAACGGUGGAACGGCCAUUGAUACUGUUAGACUUGAAUUAUUAGGAAGUAACUAGAAUAUGUAGUGUAGCGGUGAAAUGCUUAGAGAUUACAUGGAAUACCAAUUGCGAAGGCAGGUUACUACUAAUUGAUUGACGCUGAUGGACGAAAGCGUGGGUAGCGAACAGGAUUAGAUACCCGGG